UGAGUUGCGAACGGGUGAGUAACGCGUAGGUAACCUGCCUGGUAGCGGGGGAUAACUAUUGGAAACGAUAGCUAAUACCGCAUAAUAGUAGAUGUUGCAUGACAUUUGCUUAAAAGGUGCAAUUGCAUCACUACCAGAUGGACCUGCGUUGUAUUAGCUAGUUGGUGAGGUAACGGCUCACCAAGGCGACGAUACAUAGCCGACCUGAGAGGGUGAUCGGCCACACUGGGACUGAGACACGGCCCAGACUCCUACGGGAGGCAGCAGUAGGGAAUCUUCGGCAAUGGACGGAAGUCUGACCGAGCAACGCCGCGUGAGUGAAGAAGGUUUUCGGAUCGUAAAGCUCUGUUGUAAGAGAAGAACGAGUGUGAGAGUGGAAAGUUCACACUGUGACGGUAUCUUACCAGAAAGGGACGGCUAACUACGUGCCAGCAGCCGCGGUAAUACGUAGGUCCCGAGCGUUGUCCGGAUUUAUUGGGCGUAAAGCGAGCGCAGGCGGUUAGAUAAGUCUGAAGUUAAAGGCUGUGGCUUAACCAUAGUACGCUUUGGAAACUGUUUAACUUGAGUGCAAGAGGGGAGAGUGGAAUUCCAUGUGUAGCGGUGAAAUGCGUAGAUAUAUGGAGGAACACCGGUGGCGAAAGCGGCUCUCUGGCUUGUAACUGACGCUGAGGCUCGAAAGCGAGGGGAGCAAACAGGAUUAGAUACCCUGGUAGUCCACGCCGUAAACGAUGAGUGCUAGGUGUUAGACCCUUUCCGGGGUUUAGUGCCGCAGCUAACGCAUUAAGCACUCCGCCUGGGGAGUACGACCGCAAGGUUGAAACUCAAAGGAAUUG
rnacentral:rRNA from 1 species